UGAGUAACCUGCCCUUAACUCUGGGAUAAGCCUGGGAAACUGGGUCUAAUACCGGAUAUGACUCCUCAUCGCAUGGUGGGGGGUGGAAAGCUUUUUUGUGGUUUUGGAUGGACUCGCGGCCUAUCAGCUUGUUGGUGGGGUAAUGGCCCACCAAGGCUUCGACGGGUAGCCGGCCUGAGAGGGCGACCGGCCACACUGGGACUGAGAUACGGCCCAGACUCCUACGGGAGGCAG
rnacentral:rRNA from 1 species